rnacentral:lncRNA from 1 species
AUCAAAAAGAGGUCAAGGUCAAGCUCCAUGACUCCUAUGGCACAUAGGACUAGGAUGAAUACCGAUGCUCUCCUAGAUCUGGUGGUUCAAGAGAGAAGGAGAUUAGAAAUUGCCAACGAGAUUCUUAAGAGGGAUAAGCUUGCUAUACCUACACUAUAUUCUAUUGAUAUGUGCAUGUCGAAGCUAGAGAGGCUUUCCAGUCUUACGUCUGAAUGCAUCCUUGCUGCAGAAGAGGUAUUUAAAUAUGAGAUGAAUCGAUAGUUCUUCAUGCAUUACAGGGGCCCAUUAUUGGAAGCUUC